rnacentral:RNase_P_RNA from 1 species
GAUAGCCGGAUGGUCGCAUGGAAACAUGAGGAAAGUCCGAGCACCACAGGGCAAGAGUGCAGGCUAACUACCUGUGAAGGCGACUUCAAGGAAAGUGCAACAGAAAAAUACCGCCCGCAAGGGUAAGGAUGGAAAGGCGAGGUAAGAGCUCACCCGCAAAUCGGCGACGAGGCGCGAUGUAAACCCCACUCGGUGCAAGAAAGGAGCGUGAAAUGCUGCCCGCAAGCUCCCGUUCGCUCGAACCGUAAGGCAACUUGCGGUCUAGAUAGAUGGCCAUUCAAGACAGAACUCGGCUUACAGACUAUU